UUGAACGCUGGCGGCAUGCUUUACACAUGCAAGUCGAACGGCAGCGCGGGCUUCGGCCUGGCGGCGAGUGGCGAACGGGUGAGUAAUACAUCGGAACGUGCCCAGUAGUGGGGGAUAGCUCGGCGAAAGCCGGAUUAAUACCGCAUACGACCUGAGGGUGAAAGCGGGGGAUCUUCGGACCUCGCGCUAUUGGAGCGGCCGAUGGCAGAUUAGCUAGUUGGUGGGGUAAAGGCCUACCAAGGCGACGAUCUGUAGCUGGUCUGAGAGGACGACCAGCCACACUGGGACUGAGACACGGCCCAAACUCCUACGGGAGGCAGCAGUGGGGAAUUUUGGACAAUGGGCGAAAGCCUGAUCCAGCAAUGCCGCGUGUGUGAUGAAGGCCUUCGGGUUGUAAAGCACUUUUGGCGGGAACGAAAAGGACUGUGCCAAUACCACGGUUCGAUGACGGUACCCGCAGAAUAAGCACCGGCUAACUACGUG
rnacentral:rRNA from 1 species